UUUGGAAUAUUGCUCUGUGUUUUUUUCUUUUACGUUUUUGAUUAUAUUAAAAGUGAGCUCUGGUCCACCCUAACCUGCCUGCAAUUGGGUCCUUUUCUGAAACCUCAACGCUCCUCCCGUAACACCUGGUUCUUCUUCAUCAGUACUGAAGAUAGUCAGUGGGGAAGGACGCCGACCGCCAAUGUGUAGACGUGAGAUCCAACCUCGGCUCCAGCAACCUGAGACGACCAUCAAGGGAACAAAGAACAGGUGAAUCCAGGUUCUCAUGGCGUCCUGUCCUGUGGUCUCGUUCCAAACACUCUGACAGCGUUGACGUGGAGCGAGGCGUGUUGACAGUAAAUAGAUAGCAGUUAAAUAAAAAGCUGCACCUUUCCACAGAGGAGACAA